AUUGAACGCUGGCGGCAGGCCUAACACAUGCAAGUCGAGCGAGUGGCGGACGGGUGAGUAAUGUAUGGGGACUGCCCGAUAGAGGGGGAUAACUACUGGAAACGGUGGCUAAUACCGCAUACUAUCGGAUAACCCAUAUGGGAUUAGCUAGUGGGUGGGGUAAAGGCUCACCUAGGCGACGAUCUCUCGCUGGUCUGAGAGGAUGAACAGCCACACUGGAACUGAGACACGGCCCAGACUCCUACGGAGGCAGCAGUGGGGAAUCUUCGACAAUGGGCGAAAGCCUGACCGAGCAAGGCCGCGUGGGUGAAGAAGGUUUUCGGAUCGAAAAGCACUGUUAUUGGGGAGGCGGUAUCUAAACAGAAAGCCACGGCUAACUACGUGCCAGCAGCCGCGGUAAUAC
rnacentral:rRNA from 1 species